rnacentral:rRNA from 1 species
GAUGAACGCUGGCGGCGUGCCUAAUACAUGCAAGUCGAGCGAACAGACGAGGAGCUUGCUCCUCUGACGUUAGCGGCGGACGGGUGAGUAACACGUGGAUAACCUACCUAUAAGACUGGGAUAACUUCGGGAAACCGGAGCUAAUACCGGAUAAUAUAUUGAACCGCAUGGUUCAAUAGUGAAAGACGGUUUUGCUGUCACUUAUAGAUGGAUCCGCGCCGCAUUAGCUAGUUGGUAAGGUAACGGCUUACCAAGGCAACGAUGCGUAGCCGACCUGAGAGGGUGAUCGGCCACACUGGAACUGAGACACGGUCCAGACUCCUACGGGAGGCAGCAGUAGGGAAUCUUCCGCAAUGGGCGAAAGCCUGACGGAGCAACGCCGCGUGAGUGAUGAAGGUCUUCGGAUCGUAAAACUCUGUUAUUAGGGAAGAACAAAUGUGUAAGUAACUAUGCACGUCUUGACGGUACCUAAUCAGAAAGCCAUGGCUAACUACGUG